GUGCCUGUCAGAGUGUGUCAACUCAGUAAAGAUGAGGGAUUUCUGUGAGUGUGUGCCAGUGUGUGUCUGUCAAAAGUCUAAUUUGCGAAGGUGUGCAAGUCAGCGUGUGCCUGUCAGUGAGUGUAUGUCAGGAUAUGUAUAUCUCAGAGUGUGUCCCUGUCAGUGAUGGGAUGUGUCAGUGUAUGUCUGAUAGUGAAAGUGUGUGUGCCAAUGACUGUCUGUCAGUGAGUGUAUGUUUCAUUGAGGGUGUGUGUCAAUCUGUCAAAAUACAUGUUGGUCUUAAACAGGAAGAGGUGCAGCUUUGACAGGAAGGGGUGGGGCAAAUUAAGAUUA